rnacentral:lncRNA from 1 species
UCUUUCACCCCUCCAGCAGUCUAUACCAGGUGGGGGUCUAAGCGAGGGUUGGUUGGGCAUCUCCAUGUGGCGCCCGACACUGUUGCACAGAAGGCAGGUUGUGUGAGGCAACAAGUACAGUGGAAAAGGAUGUAACUCUUAACAUACGCUGGGCUUUUCUUUUGGAUCUCUCCAGCUGGGGAUCUCACCGGGAAUCCCUCGUCUCGGAAGGUGUCCCCCUGGCGGGCUGCCUCGUCUAGCACCUAGCAGUUGACAUAUGACAUAUAAAGAGAAAAAUCUGACUGUUGCCCUAAAGCAAAGCUUCAUGGCGAUUUCUGUGCUCUAAAUCUCAAAGUGAAGAAAUUCAAUGAAGCACGGGUUUACAUGUUCUCUGUGUGGUUUAUUUAUACUUCUUUCGUGGUUUUAUCUGUGAAAAUUUCACGACCUUAACUUUUCUCCCUUUUUCCACGUAUGACCAAUUUCUUUCAUUGCAAUAUGCCCAAAAUGCAUGGAGGAGCGGCUGUGUGACACAGGCUUAAGAUGUUAUUGACCUAGUUUUUUUUUUAUAUAUAUAUAUAUACAAUUUUAUACAUUAAAAAACGAAAAACUUUUUACCUUUUGAAAAAUGUCUUAGGGAGAUAAGGGGGAUCAGGGGUACAAAGGUGAGAAGGGUGACCAGGGUCCUCCUGGUCCUCCAGGGCAACCAGGAAGGUCUGGACUUGUGGGUCCAAAAGGGGAAUCUGUUGUUGGACCUCAAGGCCCAGCAGGUUCCCCCGGUUUACCUGGAGCUCCUGGGAUUGGACGACCUGGACCACGGGGUUCUCCUGGCCCUGCGGGACCUCCAGGUCCAGCAGCUGCCUAUGACUCAAGUGAGGAUAACAAAUGGAAAAGUCAGUGUUGUUUUUGAUGCAGUUUGAUGUGGUGGGUGUGUUUUUGUCAGCUGCCAUCACUGUCCCAGGCCCUCCUGGUCCGCCCGGUCCACCAGGAACUCCGGGUUACGCCAGCCCGGUGAGAUGCUUCUACAAAGUGUAGAAAAAUGUGAUUGAAGCUGCAGUGCUGACGUUCUGCUGGU